rnacentral:rRNA from 1 species
GACGGAGGAUGCAAGCGUUAUCCGGAAUUAUUGGGCGUAAAGCGUCCGCAGGUGGCUGUUCAAGUCUGCUGUCAAAGCGCAGAGCUUAACUCUGUACAGGCGGUGGAAACUGAAGAGCUAGAGUAUGGUAGGGGUAGAGGGAAUUCCCGGUGUAGCGGUGAAAUGCGUAGAUAUCGGGAAGAACACCAGUGGCGAAGGCGGUUCUCUGGGCAUUACCUGACGCUGAGGAGCGAAAGCAUGGGGAGCGAACAGG